GGCUUCGUAGCUUAGUUGGUAGAGAGUGCACUGUGCGAACUUCGUGGGCGGCGUCCAUGCGUGGGUUUGAAUCCCAUCGAGGCUA
rnacentral:tRNA from 1 species